CGCUGGCGGCGUGCCUAACACAUGCAAGUCGAGCGAGGAGAUCCUUCGGGAUGAUCCUAGCGGCGGACGGGUGAGUAACACGUGGGCAACCUGCCUCAUAGAGAGGAAUAGCCUUCCGAAAGGGAGAUUAAUACCUCAUAACAUUGCAGUUUCGCAUGGAACAGCAAUUAAAGGAGCAAUCCGCUAUGAGAUGGGCCCGCGGCGCAUUAGCUGGUUGGUGAGGUAACGGCUCACCAAGGCGACGAUGCGUAGCCGACCUGAGAGGGUGAUCGGCCACAUUGGGACUGAGACACGGCCCAGACUCCUACGGGAGGCAGCAGUGGGGAAUAUUGCACAAUGGGGGAAACCCUGAUGCAGCAACGCCGCGUGAGUGAUGACGGCCUUCGGGUUGUAAAGCUCUGUCUUCAGGGACGAUAAUGACGGUACCUGAGGAGGAAGCCACGGCUAACUACGUGCCAGCAGCAGC
rnacentral:rRNA from 1 species